UACGUAGGGAGCAAGCGUUGUCCGGAAUCAUUGGGCGUAAAGCGCGCGUAGGCGGCCCUGUAAGUCCGUUGUGAAAGUCAAAGGCUCAACCUUUGAAAGCCGAUGGAUACUGCAGGGCUAGAGUCCGGAAGAGGCGAGUGGAAUUCCUGGUGUAGCGGUGGAAUGCGCAGAUAUCGGGAGGAACACCAGUGGCGAAGGCGGCUUCCUGGCCUGUUCUUGACGCUGAGGCGCGAAAGCUAGGGGAGCAAACGGG
rnacentral:rRNA from 1 species